rnacentral:rRNA from 1 species
CUUCAGGCAGUCCAAAAUAUUAGUCAAUGCUCGAAAGAGUGAACUAGCUAACUGAAAUCAAUAAUAAUAAUUGAUAACAUAAGGGAAAAUAAUGAUAUUACCUUAUUAUUAGUGUCGUCCAAAGCUGGUGCCAGAAGACUCGGUAAGGCCAGAGACACAAACGUUAAUCGUCUUAAUCAGGCGUAAAGGGUUUGUAGGCGGCUUUAAAAUCUACUUAUAGAAAUUAAAAAAAAUAAGUAAAGAAUAAAAGCUAGAAUCAAAUAGAGGAUAAAUGAAAGAAUGCUUAGAGUAGGUCUGAUAUCCUUAGAUACUAAGUAGAAUAUUAAAGGCGAAAGCUUUUUUCCAUUAAUGAUUGACGCUCAGAAACGAAGGUGAGGAUAGGAAAUAGGAUUAGAUACCCAGAAUACCCCUCUCUGUCAACGAUGAAUGGUAGUUAUUAGUAAAAAUUUAUUAAUGGCAAUGUUAACACGAUAACCAUUCCGCCUUGUGAGUACAACUGCAAAGUUGAAAACAAAAAAAUUAGUCGGUUUCGGAGCAAACGAAGUGAAGCAUGUUAUUUAAUUCGAUAAUCCGCA